rnacentral:rRNA from 1 species
GGGUGAACGCUGGCGAUGUGCCUAAGACAUGCAAGUCGAGCGGGAUUUGUGUGUAGCACGAAGAAAUUAAACGAAUUUUUAAUUCAAAAUUUUGAAUUUUAAAUUAUGAAUUGAUUUUUUUGCGCUACGCGCGAGUUUAGCGGCGAACGGGUGAGUAAUAAACACGAACGUACCUUCAAGUGGGACAUAGCUCCGCGAAAGCGGAGAUAAUUUCCCAUAUUCCCUCCGGGGGAAAGACGCAAGUCGCUUGAAAAACGGCGUGUUCGCUACCAGCUAGUUGGUGAGGUAAUGGCUCACCAAGGCUUUGACGGCUACCGGCUCUUAGCGGAGAGACCGGCACAAUGGGACUGAGACACGGCCCAUACACCUACGGGUGGCAGCAGUUAGGAAUUUUGCGCAAUGGACGAAAGUCUGACGCAGCGACAUCGCGUGAGGGAUGAAGGUCUUCGGAUCGUAAACCUCUUUUUGGCGGCCAUGAAGGUCGCCAGAAUAAGGAACUACUAACUACGUGCCAGCAGUCGCGGUAAUACGUAGGUUCCAAGCGUUACCCGGUUUUAUUGGGCGUAAAGGGUCUGCAGGUGGUUUUCCAAGUCUUGUUUUAAAGCCCUCGGCUCAACCGAGGAUCAGGGCAAGAUACUGGGAGACUUGAAUUAUAUCGGGGUUACUGGAAUUUGUCGUGUAGGGGUAAAAUCCGUGGAUACGACAAAGAACACCAAGAGCGAAGGCGGGUAACCAGGUAUUAAUUGACACUCAUAGACGAAAGCUAGGGGAGCAAAUCAGAUUAGAGACCUGAGUAGUCCUAGCUGUAAACAUUGCCUGUUAGUUCUGUGGCAUCUGCUGCGGAAUGUAAGCUAACGCGUUAAACAGGCCGCCUGGGGAGUAUAGCCGUAAGGCCGAAACUCAAACGAAUUGGCGGGGAGGCGCACAACCAGUGGAGCAUGUGGUUUAAUUCGAUACAAAGCGAUGAACCUUACCUGGGUUUGAAAUGUACCUGCACGCCGUAGAGAUACGGAAGCCUUCGAGGGUGGUACACAGCUGUUGCAUGGCUGUCGUCAGCUCGUGACGUGAGUUGUUCUCUUAAGUGAGGUAACGAGCGCAACCCCCAUCCUGUGUUAUCGUGUCACAGGAAACUGCCUAGCAUUAUUUUGUUAGGAGGAAGGAGGGGACGACGUCAAGUCAUCAUGAUGCUUAUGUCCAGGGCUACACACAUCCUACAAUGGGCUGUAACAGAGGGUCGCAAUACCGCAAGGUGGAGCCAAUCCUUAAACCAGCCCCCAGUUGGGAUUGCAGGCUGAAACCUGCCCGCAUGAACUCGGAAUUGGUAGUAAUCGCGGAUCAGCAGACCGCGGUGAAUACGUUCUCGCCUCUUGCACACACUGCCCGUCAAAUCAGCAAAGUUGGGGGCACCUGAAGCUUCAGAUUUAUCUGGAACCAAGGUGAAUCCAGCGAUGAGGGU